UUAUAAGAUCCCUCAAAGAUGAUGAGGUUAAUAGGUUCGAGGUGGAAGCAUGGUGACAUGUGGAGCUGACGAAUACUAAUCGAUCGAAGACUUAAUCAAAUU
rnacentral:rRNA from 1 species